rnacentral:lncRNA from 1 species
GCCACUGCACUCCAGCCUGGCAACAGAGCAAGACUCCGUCUCAAACAAAACACAGCACAACAAAACAAAAAAGAACGAGUUUCAUAGUGAGAAACAGCGGAGAAACCAGCUUACCUGGUGGGCCUUGAGUGGCCCCUACAAACUCCAACCUGUUCAAGACUCAUUUGCCACGUUGUACCUUCCAGCCAAGGCAAUCCCCCCAGCCUGAGCUACUUCCCAGACCAGACCACAGAAGCAAGGCCAUGCUCACCGAGGACCCCACUUGUGGACUAGACUUCUGUCCUGCUGUGGCCUCAAAAGCAAUAGCCAGGGCCCCAUGAUGAAGCUGCCAUCAGAAGCACAGGUGUGCCUGGCAAGGACACAGGAGGACCACGGCUCCAUGCCGAUGAGAAUGGCAGCUAAGUCUGAAGCUUUCUAUGAUUUAGAUUCCUGGUUGCGAGAGGGAGCCUAUAGGAAUGGCGAGAAGAGUGAGAACUUUGCAGAGGCAGCAAGCUAGGAUUUUCUCUUUGGGUCACCGCGUGUUCUUUGGGGUCAUAUAAAGUACUCUGCUCAAGAACAAAGGCCAGUGUGGCUAUGAUGAAAAUGCAUUGACAGAGGGGCUUCAAUGUCUAUGGAACAGAAACAAGAGCCCUGGACCAAGAGGAGGAAAUGUGGAUUCACCAACAUGUUGAAAAUCAUUCUAACAUCUCCAGGCCUCAGCGUGGUCAUUCACAAAUGGAAUUCAACAAUUUCUAAGGCAACUUUUCUAACAUUUUGGAGAUAAAAAAUUUAAUGUUUAGUAAGUGCUUAUCCUGUGGCAAGCACCAUGCAAGAUCCUUUAAAUUUUUAAUUCUUUAAAAAAAAUCCUGAGCAGCACAACUGUGCAUUUCUCAUAUCACCAAUGUGUGUAUUAGAAAACGGAGGCCCAGUGAGAUAGAGUCCCAUGGUUGAGAAGUAGAGGGGCAGAAUUCUAGAAUCAACAUUGCCAUCCCCAAGAAACGCUGGCUCCCCUCUGCCUCCGCAGCAUUUCCCACACCUCAUGCCCAGAGGCUUUCACAGUCUGGUUCUUCAGUCUCUAAUCCUUCAUAGUUAGAAGGGAGGGUCGUAACUGCAUUCCUUUGUACUGUCAUCAGCUACUUAAAGUGGCAAGAAACAAUAGCCUCUUUCUCUGGAGAGUCCCAGCUCUGCUUUCCUGGAAGGGUUGCUCUUUGGACCCUGCUGGAUCUCUGAGUGAUGGCCAGGGCAGCCCCCAGGUGCACUGGGAAGUUCAGAGGACUCCUGCCACCUAGCACUUCCCUGCAGAUCUUGAAACGUAAAGUGAUGUGAGUCCCUAUUUCCCCCUUACCAAGGCUCCCUCAACUGCCGGUUAUUUGACAUAUACUCAGUCUAUUACAGGACUCAAGAAAGCAUAUAAUGACUCCAUUCACAAAACACUAAGGACUCAUCUUUUCCUGCCAAACACUCACUUUCCUUAUCACCAUGAUGCUUCCUAUCCUUGUGUCUUGACGAAGAGGUGUCUGCCUGUGCAGGGAUGCCUCAUGCCCAAAAUCUCUUCUCCUUGUACACCUGUUACUGAUGCUGGAACCCUGAAAUAAUCACCAGAUGUUCACUAAGUCCCACUGCAAUCAGCGCUGAGAGGGAUCAUUGAGAACCAUGAUAUCUAAGAGGAAUCAUUGCAAAGUGAUUAAGAUCAUGGGCUUCCAAGUCAGUCACGAUGGGUUUCAACUAUUAAUACAUGUAAUAGUUUAAAGACAGCUCUAAAUUUGUUGCCUCUCCGCUUAUUCCUCUCUCCUUGAUUCUGGGCAGGUCCCUGUAACUAGCUUUGACAAAGAGAACACAGUGGAAGUGAUCCUGCCCACCCCUUUUCCAAGGUAGACCUUAAAAGACCUGUAGCUUCCACUAUUGUGCCUCCUAGAAGCCUGUACCAUGUAAGAAUUCUAACUACCAUGGGAACAUCAUGCUGUGAGGAAGCCCAAGCUAGCCAUUUGGGAGAGAGGAAGGCCACGUAGAGAAGCACCAAGAAACUAGACAUGUUUGUGAAGCCUACUUGAACUUUCCAGCCCAACUCCAGCUGAAUGCAUCCAAGUGAAUGGCCCCAGCUGAUCCCCUGUGGAGCAGAACCACCCUGCUGACUCCUGACUGAAUCCCUGAUCCACAGAAUUUGGCUAUGGGCUCAGAUCCUCUCUUACUUCAAGGGAUCUGGGCUGGAUGCUUGGGCGCGAGAGAGAAGAAUGGCUCUCAACUGGGCGGGGAAGAGUAGCCCGCAAGGAGGCAGCGGCUCCAGGAUGGGAAGUGAGGAUGCCAAAAAAGCAUCCCUAGGAAGGUUCCUGCCUUUCCACGAGGCUAUGGGGCUUUGAAGAUAUAUCAGCUUUCUCCAGGAAGAAAUGGCACUGAUGCUCCUAGACUGGAUUUCUCAUCCUCUAAGUCAGGCCUGGCCUUGGAAGCAAAGCCCCCAGGAAUGACUGGAAGACAACACUCUGCAGACCCCUUCCACAGGGUACCCCUGCUCUCCAGGAAGGGCCUUCAGGGCAGCAUUUGGAGGUGGCAUGAGCUAGCAGCGGCGUGCAGCCUGGUCACUGUCUGAUCUGGUCAGCCCAGCCGCACAGAACACCACACAGGCUCUGGCAGCUCCCUGGGAAAGAAGAAAGCAGCAUCUUGCAUGUGUGGCUUAUUCUGAAAGGAAUAGUAUCUGAGGGAUUUGAUGGACUCUGACAGGGGGAAGAAGGUAGUGAAAAAGAUGGAACAAAGAUGCCAUUUAAAAAUACUGGCUCGUGUUCAGGAUUUCGCUAUUUUUUACUGCAAGGAACAAGUAAAAAAAAAAAUCCUCCUAUUGAUGAGUAUUUUUCUACAGUCAUUAAAAGUCAAAGGACUCAGGGCUUCCGACUUUCCCUCUUGGGAAACCUGUAAGCUCGUCUUCUGGACAGCUUAGAAAAGGGCUGGAUGGCGAAGGCGAGAGGCUUAAAGGCCCCCAGCAAGCAGCUCCGCCGAGGAACGGGUGCAGGGGACACACUGUGUUUUCAGUUCAGAUUCUGUGAUCUUUCUGCCAAACAGGGGUUUACAAAGCAAAAACCUCCAGAGAAUUCUCAUACUUUCUGGCUUAUUCUCCUGGUGUUCGUCUUAACAGGAAUCAGCUGUUUGCCUUCUCACUUAUACAGCAUGUUGCUGAGGCGAAUUUAGCAUCUGGCCUGGCUAUUAUUAAAAACAAGAACAUCCUGCUCUGUUGGGAGAACAGCACCACUGGCAAUAAAAGGACAGAGAUCAUUUGCAUUCAGGAUUCCAGAGAUGUGUUUCAGUUCAAUAUCUGCGCUCCCUCCUUCCACCCCUGCUUUCAUUUUAAGAUUUCCUGAUGCAUCCAUCACUUGCAGCGUGGUCAACUUUUUUUCUGAAACAGGCACACACAGGCAGAGCAUAUUUUUUCCUUUCACUGGGAGGCAGGAAUGACUGGAGUUGUUCAAACACCGGUCCGUUCCUGCAAUUCCUAUGAUAAAGUUGAACUACCAGAGGAAUUUUUUUUUUUUUUUUUACAACUGCGGAAAUGAAAAAGUAAACAAGACUGGGACUGCAUUGGUAUUUAGGCUCCAGCUUUUUGUUGUUGUUUUUGUCUUUCCCUUUUUUUAAGCCAUUGGGCUAGGAGCCUGAAGGGACCAUAUAAUAUGAAAAACGCUGAGAGGUUUUAUUAGCCAAUAAAAAAAAAAACUGAGUUCCUAUUAACCACUUAACUCCUUGCUGAAGUUCAAACUUGCUUUCUCCUUGGAUCCUUCUCUCCCUCUCAUGCCCACGAGGAAUGACGGUUGGUUCACCAAUCUUUCCCUGCACAACCUGAGCUCACAGUUUGUGCUCCAGAAGGUGUGGUUGAGAAUCGUAUUCAAUAAUAAUCUCUGUAUUUCUCAUCUGUGAAGCCAUAAAUAAGAUUUCUGUAAGGAGCCAAAUGUUCUACGCCCCCAAAUCUACACACACAAAGACUCUUUAAGCACUCUACUAAAAAAGAGUAAAGUCAUUGUGAUUUCUAGGAUUUUAAAUACUAAAUGAUGGUUAGGGAGAACAAAAUCAGGCUGAAGCAUUUCUGGGAUAAAUAAUGAUCCCACAAAACGCUCCUCUCAUUUGGGGGCAGAAGAAUGAAGGGAAACUCACAGAGAAACAGAAAAUGAAAUUGGUCCAACUAUUUCACUGCUGGAGAUAGAUGGAGUUAGGAUACAUAGGUGACUUGGUUUAGGAAAGAGAGGAUGUCGAAGGUGAUUUAAAUCCUAACACUGUUUUAUUAAUCGUGCCACAAUUCUACAUGUCAUGUGAUUUUGUUAUCUGCUUUUUGCUGCUUUUAAAUAAAUUUGUACUUUUCUAUCAAUCCAUCAUCCAAUUGUGUUUCGGGUGUUCUUGGCAUUCCCAUCUCUCAAAAACACCCUUAGUUUCUGCCAUUAUAUACUGUAUCUCUAAUUCCACGAAGCUCACUCUAUCCUAUUUCCAUUUUCCACAUUCGGGUUAACUCUAGUACUUUUGGUCCUCCCAGAGAAAUUUCCUAAGGCCACAUGAGCCUGUGCGCUUUUGUGUUCUGGUCCCAUUUAAUGUUACUGCUCCAAGAGCUACUCCCUGAAGGGCUUAUGUGGAAGAAUUUUGCCUUUUUGUUAAAAGUAUUUUGCUCUAUGUCCUUGAUUUCUUUAUAAGAAUAGCAGGUGGGGGAAAUUCUUCCCUUUUUAUUGGCUACAGAGUGGGACAGAAUGACCUGGAAAGAAUAGAUAGCAAUCAAGAAGUGAGCUAUGUUUGCAGUGCUAAAACAGGAAGCAAGUUUUGCAGAAAACCCCACUAAGUGGCCUGACAUCAAUGCAACAAGAUAAUAAGAAACGAAUUAAAAGACAUUUUGGUAAAUGUUAAAUGUGUUUCCAGAAAUUUGAUCCCUCUGCUUCCCAAAUGGCUGAGCAUAUCUGAAUAGCAGGGCUGGAUUGAGUCACAAACUUUUGAAUAAUAGCUUUACAAAAAUUACUAAAAACUCCUUAAAUGUUAGCUUCUCCCUGCUCCCUUAAUUGACAUAUCAAGGAGCAUCCAGUGUCCCUUGUCCCAGUAACCUAUUUGAAGACAAGUAAUUGUUUCUUUAUCACUUGUGGGAUAAAGGCAGUACUUUUUUUUUUUUUUGAAGAAUUUGCAGAAAUAAAAAACUGAGGCCAAGAAACACUGUGUCUCCUGAGUACAUGUGCAGGGGUGGUGAGCCCCAUCUUUCUCUGAGUGGGUGGCUGUUCAGGUACCCUUUCCAAACUUCACCCUCCUCCUUCCC